rfam:Clostridium tetanomorphum DSM 665 contig69, whole genome shotgun sequence.
UCUGUUAAGAAGAAACUAGCCGUUUCUCACCUUACAGCAUUGCUAGUAAGGUUAGAUUGGGAAUAUACUUAUUGUAGUGUAUAUUGAGGACGGCUUUGCCGUCCUUUUUUUAUUGA